GACAGUGUGAGAGGUACUCAGUUUGAUGGGUUUGCAUCAUGCGUGAGUAUAAGCUAGUCGUUCUUGGCUCAGGAGGUGUUGGAAAGUCUGCUCUGACUGUACAAUUUGUUCGAGGAAUUUUUGUUGAAAAUAUGAUCCUACGAUAGAAGAUUCUUAUAGAAAGCAAGUUGAAGUAGAUGCACAACAGUGUAUGCUUGAAAUCUUGGAUACUGUAGGAAUGGAACGAUUUACAGCAAUGAGGGAUUUAUACGUGAAAAACAGGCAAGGCUUUGCAUUAGUUUAUUCAAUCACAGCACAGUCCACAUUUAAUGACUUGCAAGAUCUGAGAGAACAGAUUCUUCCAGUUAAAGACACUGAUGAUGUUCCAAUGAUUCUGGUCGGUAAUAAGUGUGACUUAGAAGAUGAAAGAGUUGUAGGAAAGGAACAAGGUGAAAAUCUAGCAAGACAAUGGAAUAACUGUGCAUUCUUAGAAUCUUCUGCAAAAUCAAAAAUAAAUGUUAAUGAGAUCUUUUAUGACCUAGUGUGGCAAAUUAACAGAAAAACUGCAGUGCCUGGGAAGCCUCGUAAAAUGUCAUCAUGUCAGCUACUUUAAUAUACAAAAUGCAUCGUAGCUCUGAGCUAGGUCUGAAGAA